rnacentral:rRNA from 1 species
GAUGAACGCUAGCGGGAGGCCUAACACAUGCAAGCCGAGCGGUAGAGUUUCUUCGGAAACUUGAGAGCGGCGCACGGGUGCGUAACACGUGUGCAACCUACCUUUAUCUGGGGGAUAGCCUUUCGAAAGGAAGAUUAAUACCCCAUAAUAUAAUGAUUGGCAUCAAUUAUUAUUGAAAACUCCGGUGGAUAGAGAUGGGCACGCGCAAGAUUAGAUAGUUGGUGAGGUAACGGCUCACCAAGUCAAUGAUCUUUAGGGGUCCUGAGAGGGAGAUCCCCCACACUGGUACUGAGACACGGACCAGACUCCUACGGGAGGCAGCAGUGAGGAAUAUUGGACAAUGGGUGAGAGCCUGAUCCAGCCAUCCCGCGUGAAGGAUGACGGUCCUAUGGAUUGUAAACUUCUUUUGUACCGGGAUAAACCUACCCUCGUGAGGGUAGCUGAAGGUACUGUACGAAUAAGCACCGGCUAACUCCGUG